CUCUCUCCAACUUUUCUUUCGUUCUAUCUUUCUCUAAAAACCAAAACCCCAAAUUAUCUUUCGUACUUUCUCUCGCUGUCUUUUCUACCACUCUAUCUCGGAUCUCCAGUGGUUCCUAUAUUUCUUUGAUUCGUUUCUAACUGGCAUGUCUGCUUUUCAUUAUUGUGUUUUGAUAUUCUUUGGUUUCAGAAUUUGUUGAUUCUGAUUUUGAUUGUUUUGAUUUCUUUUUUAAAGGGUUUAAUGGGUUGUUUUAGAAUGAAAUCAGUUAACUGGACACGGGAUGUGAUGACUGCGAUGGCUAAUUUGUUCCAGAGGCUAUCUAAAGGAAGUGUUAGAACGGAGAAGGAAAUCAUCUUGUGUUUUCAUUGAUGGAGACUAUUUCUCAUUUUCUUCACGUUAUUUUGUCAUAAAUAUGAUAAUCUCUCCCGGGCCACAAUAGUUGAUCAUAAUAGCCUCAAGGUAUAAAGAUGCAUUGGAAGUGUUUGUCGAAUUGUUUCAACGGGAUUUCGAAUUUUAUUUUGGGAUAAUGGACAUCUGUAAGUUGAUCUUUUCCUUAAUUAGAUCUUCCUGUAAGUAAUCUAUUCAGUCAGUAUUUGAUUAGGAAGGGUGCUUAUUUUUGUGCAAGUGAUUUAUGCUAAUUGGAAAAUGGUUUUUGGAUCCUUAACUGAUAAAGUUUGCUUUUAAUCAGAUUUAUGUUGAUAAUCGUCCACUGCCUUUUGUAUAAUCGAUUUUUUAUAUAUAUUGUGUACUCUGAGCUUAUACUUUUUCUUGCUCAUCUGGAUGAUACGAUGAAGAAUCAGCGACGGAACCAGACAUUUUAUCAAAUGGGGGCAAAUUCAUGUAAUAAACUUUUGUGCAUAAUAGCGAGUAAGCGGUCGAAGGCCGCUCGAUUUUCUUUUGACAAUUUUAUUUACCUUUUAGUUUUUAUUAAGUGAAAAUGGAAUCAUAAAAUAUUUUAAUUACAUUAAACAUAGAAAUUUAGAUGAAUUUUUAUUUUUAAAUCACACGUUUGAUAUAUUUUUAUUAAUUUAAUAUGAGUUUAAAUUCAAUUCUAUUUAGCAUAUCUGCCCCUGUAAGAUCCGUAAAUUACAAAAAUGCUAAGCUUAUAUCAAACGAAUUUCAAAAUUAAGUGGGGGCUGGGGACCCAUUUGUCCCCAUUUCCCUCCGUCCCUGCUCAUAUAAGUGGAUAAUAGGUCCCUGAGCCUCCCAGUGAAACGUUUGCCAAUGCAGAUAUAUGUAAGCAUGUUCAAAUGAGAAUGCGAAUUUAGUUUUGAUGAUGCGUUCUGAUUUUGUCUUGAUUUGAUUGGUAUAGACUCUGAAUAGUAGGUCCUUGAGCCUCUCGAUGAAAUACUUGCCAUCAAUUGGUAUUUUUCUGUUUGUGCUGACAUAAUGGAGUUCACUGGAGUAUGAAAACCAUCUAUUGCAGGCUGCAGUAAAAUCAACAAUUCCUGGAGUUACUUGCAGCAAAGCGAAAUGCAGUAGAAUAAGGGGUGUAAAAAGUUGGGGUAUAAAGAUCUUUGACUAAGAUACUACUGAAGGGAGAUUUAGGUUGAUGCAUAGGGGUAGUCAGUGUCCACAUAUCUUCUCCUAUGUGCUCAGUUUCUCCAUUUCAUAUUUCCAUGGACCAUGUACAAUGUUGUUGUAUUUGCUUUAGACCAUUUUGA